UUUCCGUAAGUGAACCUGCGGAAGGAUCAUUAUUGUAUAACCGAGGUGCGAGGGCUGUCGCUGACCCGAAAGGUCGUGCACGCCCGAGUGCCCUCACACACAUCCAUCUCACCCCUAUGUGCACCACCGCGUGGGUCCCCCUUUGGCUUGUUCGGAGGGGGGCUUACGUUUUCACACAAACUUUGUAUGCAGUGUAGAAUGUAUUUUUUGUUUUUGCGAUCACGCAAUCAAUACAACUUUCAACAACGGAUCUCUUGGCUCUCGCAUCGAUGAAGAACCAGC
rnacentral:misc_RNA from 1 species